GGAGAGAUGGUCGAGCUGGUUGAUGGCACCGGUCUUGAAAACCGGCACAGAUGCAAGUCUGUCAAGGGUUCAAAUCCCUUUCUCUCCGCCA
rnacentral:tRNA from 1 species